rfam:Zea mays cultivar B73 chromosome 5, whole genome shotgun sequence.
ACGACCUUACUUGAACAGGAUCUGUUCUAUAGGAUCGUACCGUUGCAUCCUUGAUUGAUAAGGAGGCAAGCACUUAAACCUGGUUGAUGAACCAUGACCUGUGGGCCAGAGCGUGAUUAACGGCCAGGAAUGGCUCUGAUGCCCUAUUCCAGUGCUGUAGAUGAUCGUUCCUCGCCAGUUCUAACCUAGCUAGGGUGGCUCAUGGGUUGUCUGACAGGUU